rnacentral:rRNA from 1 species
GGGGAAUAUUGCACAAUGGGCGCAAGCCUGAUGCAGCCAUGCCGCGUGUAUGAAGAAGGCCUUCGGGUUGUAAAGUACUUUCAGCGAGGAGGAAGGCAUUAAGGUUAAUAACCUUAGUGAUUGACGUUACUCGCAGAAGAAGCACCGGCUAACUCCGUGCCAGCAGCCGCGGUAAUACGGAGUGUGCAAGCGUUAAUCGGAAUUACUGGGCGUAAAGCGCACGCAGGCGGUCUGUCAAGUAGGAUGUGAAAUCCCCGGGCUCAACCUGGGAACUGCAUUCGAAACUGGCAGGCUAGAGUCUUGUAGAGGGGGGUAGAAUUCCAGGUGUAGCGGUGAAAUGCGUAGAGAUCUGGAGGAAUACCGGUGGCGAAGGCGGCCCCCUGGACAAAGACUGACGCUCAGGGGCGAAAGCGUGGGGAGCAAAC